rnacentral:rRNA from 1 species
AUGGCUCUAAAAUUUAAGACUCCAUGGAACUUGCGACCAUUGCCCAUCUAUUCUCUGGAAUUAGCAGUCUAUUCCUAUGUAGUCUGCUUGACACAUCAGUCGGUAUAUAACCAGACAGGACCAAACAACACUAGGUACAGACAGAGCUCCUACAUAUCUAAUCAAGAUGAAGCGAGGAGCCAAAACAUCACAAGGGCAGAUGUGGCACUAAGCGCCCAGGAAAGGAAUGCAAACGCGGUCGCAAGCUCAAAUGUCCCACAGGGGAGAUGCGGGUCCCUGCUGCAGAAGUACGCAUCCUUGUCGAAGAGAACAACGACGCUUCCUGCUGAGCAUGAAGCGGCGAACGACAGGAUCGACGUUACCUGCAUCAUAGAGAAUGAUUGCCUCAGUACUUUCAAAGGAAUAUCUGGCUGA